UUUUUCCCCAAGUACGUUCUUAACAUUGGCAAGUGAACCUCUUAAAGUGAUUGAGACUCGCCUGGGUCAUAUUCUUUUUCUUUUUUUUGUCUGGAGUGCAGUGGCACAAUCUCGGCUCACUGCAACCUCUGCCGCCCGGGUUCAGGCAAUUCUCCUGCCUCAGCCUCCCGUGUAGCUGGGAUCACAGGUGCUUGCCCUCGCACUUGGCUAAUAUUUGUAGUUUAGCUGGGGUUUCACCAUCUU
rnacentral:lncRNA from 10 species